rnacentral:lncRNA from 1 species
UCUUGUAUUGCCCAUGUAAGAUUCCCCAAGUCCCUCAUCGUACAGACCCAAGAAGGAAGCGUGUAAAAACAGCCAAGUCGGCCUCCAGCAAGCCAGGAGGAACACUACGUGCUCUCAAUGCCCAAUUCGCAGUUCUGCUACAUUGUUCAUGAACCCAGUGAAAGAUGUUCACAGUGGUAAGUAACACUUUAUUUCAGGAAGAAAAAACGCAGCGUGACUUCCUUGAGUAAGUAACAGAAUCAGUGUGUGGUGCACUG